GCUGCUUUCACUUUCACGUCCCUGUGAGUUCUUGGCUCGACCUGUUCUCAUCCCCAGCUGUGUGUGGGAGAACCACCGAGGCUCUGCUAAGAGGUCUCAAGAAGACAUUCGGAACUAACAUCAUACACAGCGAAACGAGGCCCCGUUUGAUGAAAAUGUCCAGCUCUGCUUCUAUCUUUUUGUACCUGUCUUUUACCUUCGCAACCUUAACCUGAUAGUUCCACAGCCUGUGGUAGACUGAAACUCUUUUUCCAGUGCUGUGAUGCUGGCAAGCACUUUAAAAUUUCCACAACAGUUGUACACAUCUUACUAUUCUUUCUUCCUCACCAUAGCAGGUUCUCUUAAACUACUCAUGAAUACUCAGGAGCAUUUACACACCUGCUGGACCUUCAUUAAGCUCAGUGGGUCAAAUAAUCAGUUGGGGUACAUUACAAAAAGGAAAAAAAAAACAACAAAAAGAUAAUUUCAGUGUGCAGCAGGCUAAAAGCCACCAGCAUCUUUACCUCAUGACAAUAAAACACUGAGUGAUGUUUCUUGUCUCUAUCAGAAAUUAUGAAAGAUUGCAAAUGAAGCUGAAAAGCUCAUUCUCUUGGGAAGGAAAAACAGAACAAUCUUCAGAGAUGUGGUGACAAACUAGCACAGUUUGUCCGUCACUCCACAUGAUCAGGCCUUUUGCUCUCUUCUGACAGUCCAUCUUUCCAAUGUACUGAUUUUCUUGCAGCCAAGUACCAUGCAGUGCUGCUUCAGAGCAUUAAAACAGCUUCUGCAUUUCAUCCCAGAGUCUUCUCCACUUCAGUGACAGGGAAGGGAUUCUUAUGCAUGCAGAUUAGCUGGCUCUACUCUAUACAGCCAGCCAGCAUGAGUGAGGCUAUUGUGACAACCAGAGCUUGUGAUAGGUUAUGCAUCUGCUUUCCAAGCAGGGGGAAUCUCACUGCUUAUGCAUCUGACCCCAGAAAGAGAGAGCAUAUGCAGUAUGUUUUAAAAAGGCCUAUGUGUUCAUUGACACUGUGACCACAGUGGAGACAUUUUAAUCCGUAGUGUGACAAAUAUUAGAUCCCACCUCAACCCAUCUAGACAUGAAAAUCAGAAGUCCUGGUAGAUAUAUACCUAGUAAGAAUUGUAUUUUGAAUGGCAUGCAAUGAGAAUAUUUUCUACCAAAGCCAUAAAAAUUAUUGGUUCCCUUCAUGCCUGCCCCCUAUUAGGCACAUCUGAUUUGAAGGCAGCAAGGUUUCUGCAGUAUUCUAGGACAGUACAGGAUCACAUAUUUUUCUCUGUUCACUUAAUAAAAGCAAAUAUAUAAUGUGCCGAGUGUUUUCCCAGAGUAUCAGGUUUAUAACUGUAUGGCUUUAACUAAAUGAGGAAGAAGAGAAAUAGAUAAAACACUUUGAUGUUUCAACAAUAUUACAAUGUUUAUUUUUUAAUUGCUAUUGCUGAUUCAUCCACCUCUGUAGCAGACCAGCAAGGUUGAAAAUAUAAUCCCAUGAACUCUUUGUUCUUAAGGUAGAUACCACUGAUACUCAAGCCAGAAAAAUGGAGAGAAUUAUAAAUAAAAAGAUUUCAUACAGGAAAGAUAAAGCACUGAAAACUCAUGUCUGUGUAGACUCAGAUGGUAAUUUACUUGCUUAAUCUAGAAACAUUUUCAGACUUUAAAGUGGAAUAAUGUGUCUGUGUGGGUACAAAAUAACAGGAAGAUGGAAGAGAUGAGUAAGUUGAAGUGUUAAGAUACUAUAUUAAGAACAUAUAUGUUUAUGAUCAAAUCUCAAUAGAAUUCCAAAACUUUUGAAAAAAUUCAAGACUGUUUCCACUGUUUUUGAUAGAUUGUCUUAGAUAUGUUUUUUGGGUGGAAGAGGGAAUAACCUUACUUUUUAACCAGCUAAGGACUGAAAUACUGUGUGGAGCCCACACAGCUCCUCCCCACGUUAUCCAACCAAGGCAGUCAGCAUUUCUGUGUGCAGCUAAUAGCUUAACUACACAGUGCUGGCAUUUGCAGGCUUUAGCAACCCCUUUC
ensembl:lncRNA